CUCAAAUUGACUUCUUGACAGUUUUCUCGUGUGGUGAGGUAAUAGGAGCUUUUUGAAUUUUGAGAGGAUGUCUGAGAAAAAGCAUAGACGACAGACGAUCAAAGAGUUUAAUAAUUUACAGAUUGCGGACACGAAUUUUGUUAGUGAAUUUCUUGAGUUUUGCAGAGAAGCCAAUGUCUCGCCACUGCCAAAAUUUCGAGUUAGUUAUGUCACCAGACAAUAAAGUUUCCAUGCAGUCAAUUCACUCGAGCAGAACUAUUACUUCUUCGAGCGAACGAGAAAAUCAAUUUACAAAAUUCGAGGAGAAACACGCAACACCAAUAUUUCGCGUGACUUAUGAAAAUACUAAAAAAUCGGAAAAUCCACAGAAGCUCGAGUGCAAAGGUUUCGAGAUAACGAUUUGCACUUUGGACGCUUUAAAUCUCACUAUGAAAAAUUACAGUACCAUCACGACACUCGAAUUGCCAAAUUGCCAAAUAAACGCUUAUGGCAUAGUACAGAUAUCUGAGAUGCUUACGGAAAUUGGUUGCAUUAAAGAUUUGAAUUUGGAUAGAAAUCCAAAUAUUAAAGAAAAUUAUUAUCUACUAUGCACGCCUACGAACAACCUCUUGUAUUUAUCAUUGAGAUCCUGCAAAAUAUCCGAUGAAGGCAUUCAAAAAAUUACCAAAGAAUUGGAGUACAGAGAUCCCCCAGAUAAUCCAAAGCUUAUUGCUUUAAAUUUAGCUAAUAAUAAUAUAAGUCAAAGUGGCGCUGAAUACAUUGCUCUCAUGCUGAGGACCAACAGAUCCCUACGAAGUCUGAUCCUGACCGGAAACAGGAUAUGUGAUGGCGGCGCCGCAUCUAUUAUUCAGGAACUGGUCAUGCAUCACCUGUCACACGAUGAAAUCAUCGAAUUGAGACGUCGAAAAUACGCCAGGAUAAUGUUACGCAAAGAAAAGGUAAAGAUGCUGGAAGAAAUUUCAAAGCAAACGGAAUCAAGUGACUCCAAAGGCAAUCUCGACGAAAGAAAUCUAUCUGUAACGUCAACUCGAAAAGUGACGCGUUUUCAAAGAGUCAAAAGAAAAUCUAUAUGCAAGUAAACUUUUUUUAAACGUGAACGUUAUAGACAUCCAUAAAUCAUUUAUCAACAACUAAUGCCAAAACAGUUGGCAGACAGGAUAAUCCUAAAGCAAAAGAAACAGACGAUCCCAGUACACUAAGAUUAAACGUACAGUAUUAUCAAUGAAUUAUCAAAUUUUAUUUUCAAUUAAAAACAAAUUUUCAUUUUAGACCAUAGAAGACAUAGCAGAAUCUAUGCUGGAGCCUGAAUAUCAUCCCUUAACCCUAGAGAGUACUCCAGUUAAAGGAAGCAUGAUAUCAACAGGAAACUUCAAACUGCAACAUCUAAACUUAAGCUGUAGGUCCUAAGAAUUAUUAUUAAUUUUUCUAUAUAAUUUUUUACAAGACCUCCUACUGCGACACCUGUGUCACAAAGUCCAACUCCUAAGAAUUUAAGUAAAAUAGUUAUUUAUGCAUUAAACCUGACUCAUUGAGCUGACACAAUGUUCAUAUUGUUCCCAGUCAACGGGCUGACGAACGUGACGUUAAAAAAGCUCGUGAGCUGCCUACAAUAUCAGGAAUACAUGACUCUAGGCGACUCUUCAAAUGGCCUCAUAUACAUAUCCUUGGAGGGAAAUGACGUAACAAUGGAAAAUACUGA